CCUUUAGAUGUUCUGGGCCGCACGCGCGCUACACUGAUGCAUUCAACGAGCCUAUCCUUGACCGACAGGUCCGGGUAAUCUUUGAAUCUGCAUCGUGACGGGGAUAGAUUAUUGCAAUUAUUAAUCUUCAACGAGGAAUGCCUAGUAGGCGCAAGUCAUCAGCUUGCGUCGAUUACGUCCCUGCCCUUUGUACACACCGCCCGUCGCUCCUACCGAUUGGGUGUGCUGGUGAAAUGUUCGGAUCGGCCGUUUGUCGCGGUUUCCGCGGCUCGUGGCUGAGAAGUUCAUUAAACCCUCCCACCUAGAGGAAGGAGAAGUCGUAACA
rnacentral:rRNA from 1 species